CGGGAGCAACAGGGCAGGAGAGAGAGAGAGAGACAGAGAGGGGGAGAGGGAGAGCACAAUAAAUCUGAGAGGAAAAGGCAUUCCUACACGACUGACCAUGAGAAUGAUAAACUCCACUAACUCCUCACAGGAUUCAUGGAGAUACGAGUGGGAAUAUUACUACGAUUACCUAGACCCAAUACCAGUGGACGAGCGCAAACUGAAAUAUAACAAGUACUUGAUAGUGAUCGUAUUCUGGAUCAGUCUGGCUGCUUUUGUGGGAUUCCUGUUUGCCAUUUUGACUUUCAUGUCCCGUUCAGUCAGUCUACCCAAAGCUCAUAGUUCCAAAACGGCCAAGAAAUCGUGGAGGAACCCUAGAUCCAAUUCUGCUCGAUGGAGAAUACGUGAUCUGUUUUCUGCUUGAUCCCCAAACCCCUCUGAAAGACACACACACACACACACACACACACACACACACACACACACACACACACACACACACACACACACACGCACACGCACACGCACACAUGUUGGGAGCACAAGGCAGUCAGUGCAGAGCCCAAAGAGCAAUUUGUAGGGGUUAAGUGCCUCAAUUAAGGACACACUGCCAGGAUAUGGCAUUUGGAACACCACUGGUCUGAUGGAGCAUUUCGGAACCAUUAUAAAACAUCUGUGUGAAACAUCGACUUACCUGCAAUGUAAUGGCCUGGUUACAAAGUGGGAUUUCCAUGUUUCUAUUCAAAUACAAGACGACACCAAAAUCAUUUUACAACAUUUUAUAAAAGAGCGAAGUGAUUGUUUUGAACAAAAAAUAAAAUAAAAAUGAAAUUAAUGAUUAACAUACAAAACACACAACUUCUUUUAGAAAAUGUAAAAUGCAAAAUAACGGAGGCUUCCAUUUUAUGAGUAAACACCAUUUUCAAAUGUGUACAAGUAUGCAUACUGUAUCCUGACUUGAGAUUCUCAGAAAAUGUCCUCUUCUCACUAGACGUAAAUUGAUGAUUUGCACAAAAGUCGUGAGUUGUGCACACUUAUCUCAACUCUGAAUCUACUGUAUGGAACUGCUCUCUGUUCCCAAUAUACACACACACACAGAGUAUAGCAAACAUUAGGAACACCUUCCUAACGUUGAGUUUCUACCCCCCCUUUGC